UCAUCUUCCGGUGCAAACAAUAUGAAAAUAAUAAUUUUAGGCUCACCUGUUUUGAGCCCAUUUUCAAUAUCUUUUAGACUCAACUGUUUUGAGUCCCUUUUUACUUUUGUUGGCUCAUGGUUUUAGGCUUUUUCUACAAACAUUACCUAAUAUUACAAACAAACAAAUGAGCUGUUGGUGGAAAGAAGACAACAAAAGGAAAACCCCAC
rnacentral:lncRNA from 1 species